rnacentral:tRNA from 2 species
GCCAACGUAGCUCAGUCGGUAGAGCAGCGCUUUCGUAAAGCGCGGGUCGUCAGUUCGAUUCUGACCGUUGGCUCCA